GACGAACGCUGGCGGCGUGCUUAACACAUGCAAGUCGAACGAAGAGCGAUGGAAGCUUGCUUCUAUCAAUCUUAGUGGCGAACGGGUGAGUAACGCGUAAUCAACCUGCCCUUCAGAGGGGGACAACAGUUGGAAACGACUGCUAAUACCGCAUACGAUCUAAUCUCGGCAUCGAGGAUAGAUGAAAGGUGGCCUCUACAUGUAAGCUAUCACUGAAGGAGGGGAUUGCGCCUGAUUAGCUAGUUGGAGGGGUAACGGCCCACCAAGGCGAUGAUCAGUAGCCGGUCUGAGAGGAUGAACGGCCACAGUGGGACUGAGACACGGCCCAGACUCCUACGGGAGGCAGCAGUGGGGAAUCUUCCGCAAUGGACGAAAGUCUGACGGAGCAACGCCGCGUGAGUGAUGACGGCCUUCGGGUUGUAAAGCUCUGUUAAUCGGGACGAAAGGCCUUCUUGCGAAUAGUGAGAAGGAUUGACGGUACCGGAAGAGAAAGCCACGGCUAACUACGUG
rnacentral:rRNA from 1 species